rnacentral:rRNA from 1 species
GACGAACGCUGGCGGCGUGCUUAACACAUGCAAGUCGAGCGGUAAGGCCCUUUCGGGGGUACACGAGCGGCGAACGGGUGAGUAACACGUGGGUGACCUGCCUCUAGCUCUGGGAUAAGCCCGGGAAACUGGGUCUAAUACUGGAUAUGACUCCAUGACGCAUGUUGUGGGGUGGAAAGCCUUGUGCGGCUAGAGAUGGGCCCGCGGCCUAUCAGCUUGUUGGUGGGGUGAUGGCCUACCAAGGCGACGACGGGUAGCCGGCCUGAGAGGGCGACCGGCCACACUGGGACUGAGACACGGCCCAGACUCCUACGGGAGGCAGCAGUGGGGAAUCUUGCGCAAUGGGCGAAAGCCUGACGCAGCGACGCCGCGUGAGGGAUGACGGCCUGGU